ensembl:lncRNA
GGAGCCAAGAGUAACAAAGGGAGCCCGCGGCCGGGUUUGUUUGGAUUGCCCGGGCGGCGCGGGAGCGGCCGGGCGCAGCUGACCACGGGUACAGAUAGGUUAAUUUCCACAUGGAGCGGCAGAAACCCAAUCCGCGGGUUGCGAAGCGUGGGUCAGCCAAGGCACGUUAAUCUGUUUAGCAUGUGCGCCGCGCGGAGGAGCCAGACCACCGGGGCGCAGGAGGCGCGGCCGCAGCCGCGCUGCUCCGGGGGAGUUAAUAAAGAGCUUAAGUUCCUAGCAUAAGCUGCUUUGGAUUAGUUAAAGCCCGUGCCCCCAGCUGGAACGUUAUGUCGAUAACUGGUGAUAUGAUGAGGCCAGGAGCUGACGUUGAUUCAGUCUGUCUCCUGUGCGAGCGCUUUGCAUGCAUCAUAUAUAAUGGGUUCACGACACACCUGUGAGCAUCGCGUUCUGUUGGACAGAGAGCCCCAGGACUGUCAGACGGCGAAGGGUUAGGAAGUGCGCGCAGCCUCGCCGACCCCUGCCCAGUCCGAGAACCAGAGCUGUUGUCGAUCGAGGGCCCGGCCGUUGCGCCCGGGGCGCGCGGGCCUCGCUGAGUCGCGACGAGUCCCUGCGCCUCCUCCCAGACGCGGCGCCACCGAGAGAGAGACCACCGGCUCCCGCUUCAUUUCAGGGGCUGACAAGGGGAAAACACUACUGCGCCCCUGGCCGAAGGAGGUAAACCAAGUAGAAAGGGCGAUCAAAAAUUAAUUUGGUGCACUGCUCGGGAGCAGCACCCUGUCAAAACCCUACGGAGACGUUGGCACAAGCGGCAAACGGAUUCACAGACAAAGGAAAACAAUACAAGUCUCGUUAGAUCAUUUUUCUGGACAUUGUUUAAGGUCUGAAAGGGACCAAAUCGUUUCAAAAUGUUGCCAGUAAAAAUUAUCCUAUGUGGAAUGCAACUAAUCCUUUUAGGUUCCUGUCAACUGUUUCCACAAAAGGAAUCCGAUUUUUCAAAUCAAAGAUCCAAAAGUCUUUGGGGAGAGAUUUAUUACAUGCCAGAGCUUUAGUUACAGAAUAGAGUUACAAUAACAACUCGCACCCACCAACUCCCCAAAAUAAGGGAUCCCAUCCCACGCAGUUCUAAUGACGUGUGGGGGAUGGUUGCUGGAGUCCUGCUAAAUAUGCAGAUAGGAGGAGAGUGGGGGAAGGGGGAGGAAGGCAAAGAAAUAUUAAAUUCCUUAAAUAGACCAACAGAACACAGCGCCUCAACAUUUUAUUUUUGUUCUCCGUACCCCUGGUUCCUUUUGAAGAGGAAAACAAGACCCAAACUUGGUGACCUGCCCCCUCAGUUUAGAACUUUAAGGUGAGCUUAAUGCUUGAGUACUGAAAAACUCUUCCGAACCCUGACUUCUCUGAGUUUGCAUAGUAGUGUGUCUACAGUGUCUGCAAGUGGAAAAUAUUUAAAAGUGAGAAAAGAAUACAAGAAAAUAUUUUUUCUUUAAAAUUUAAAAAAACUUAUUUUAAAGUUUUUCUUUGAUUUGGAAUACAAUGUUUAAGAACAAGAAAAAAGUGCCCCAGGGCUUUUCACUGUGCCUCCGUAUCUGAGUCUUUCCACAAACGCAUGUGAACAUAAACGCAUUCCUUGCAGAUCACAGUCUCAGUUCACCGUAGUGUGAGCAUUUUGUGCUGAGCCUGAUCAUGAAGAUCCUCCGCCUCCUUUUCAGUUCUUCACUGAUUAGAACUGGUGGCUAGGGUAAGACUGAUGGGUAAACGAUUGGUAGAAAGCCUUAAAAACUUGAGAAGAAACUCAAAUUCCUAGUUCUCUGAGUGGAGGAAUUUUGUGCCUCCAUACCACAUAGGCACCUAUCUCUUUUAGGUGCUUUGUGAGUGAACUGCCACACCAGAAAGAUAGUUUCAAGAAGCAACCUAAGUUUAGUUUACAGACAAUUGAGUUUGGGUUUGUUUUUUUUUUUUAAUGGUUUUGUUAAGUGGAGAAGUGAAAAAAGAUCUUCCUAGCCUUCCCUCCACCCCAUUGUUUGCUGCUGAAAUGGCUCGUUCCUCUUGCUGCGUGAGUGUGUUUCUGUUAUUAGAGGCAACUUGGUGGUGGGAAUUCUUGCGUUUGUUCCCUGUAUUUAAAUUGGGAAUAAAGGGAUUUGCAGUGUAGCAGGUGCUCAAUAAAUACUGCAGACUAAUCCCACUUUUCAAAGCUUAGAGGUUAAAGAGAUGAUCAGUAGGUAAAUAAUUAGAGAAAAGAAAUAGAACAAGAGACCAGAAGAGGGGUUUAAAACACCAUUGCUUUGUUUAUUUUAGAAGGGAGGAGAAAGUUAUCUGUCCAAAUAUACAUCUGACUGAGGUAAGAGAAAACACAAUGUCCCCUCUUUUUUCCUCAUUAUUUCUAGAAAGGGUUAAAUAAUGAUUUAUUUCAUAGAUAGGGUGGGAAUGUUGAAGAAAGAUGAGCUUUACAUGAAGCCAAAAGUUUCUCUUAACUAAUAUAAGGAUUUGGGUAUACUCCAAAGUUUAGAGGUUUUUCAUUUCCUGGAAGAAUAUGGAUGUGGGACAGAAGCCACAAAAGAAUCAUCGGUCUACACAUGUGUGUAGGUUUUAUGUUUUCCAAAAUAUUUUCAUAUAAAUUGGCAUAUUGAUUCUCAAAACCCAUCACCACACUCCCCGCA